rnacentral:tRNA from 1 species
UCCAGGGUAACCGAGUGGACAAGGCACCUGCCCGGUAAGCAGAAGGGUGUGGGUUCGAUUCCCGCCCCUGGAC